rfam:Deltaproteobacteria bacterium RBG_16_47_11 RBG_16_scaffold_66704, whole genome shotgun sequence.
CUACCGUCACUGCAAAGUGAUGGGAUGGGUUAGCAGAAGUCAGCAGAGGCCGUAAGAGGCGAGUGAACCGCUCGCCAAAGGGC